UUAGUGUUGACAACGUUAUGGUAUUCGUGCGGUUAUCCCAAAUACCCCAAACAAUGUCCUUAAUUAAUUAUGAACCUGCUAAACCACCUGUGCUACCCUAACCAUAACCUGUCUCAAAUAACACCCUCAUCAUUUGGGACACUCAGUUUUUGGAAAACAAUUUGGGACACUAAACUGCACCAUCAAUUUCCUUUUAUUGUUAUUCCAGGGCUGCUUUAAGUCCAUGGACUUUUGUGGUUGAAGAUGGCCCAGAGAGAGAGAACACAAAUUCAUGAAGAACAAAGGGAAACUUUGAAAUCCUUUUUUGAGGAGGGAAUGACACGGGUUGGUUCCCCCCUCAUAUCAAGAGCUGCAUCAGCGACUGGUUUGGAAACCAGUGUC